rnacentral:rRNA from 1 species
UACGGAGGGGACUAGCGUUGUUCGGGAUUACUGGGCGUAAAGCGCACGUAGGCGGAUUUGUAAGUCAGGGGUGAAAUCCCGGGGCUCAACCUCGGAACUGCCUUUGAUACUGCAAAUCUCGAGUCCGGAAGAGGUGAGUGGAAUUCCUAGUGUAGAGGUGAAAUUCGUAGAUAUUCGGAAGAACACCAGUGGCGAAGGCGGCUCACUGGACUGGUAUUGACGCUGAGGUGCGAAAGCGUGGGGAGCAAACAGG